rnacentral:snRNA from 1 species
GUGCUCACUUCAAUGACAAAUAUACUAAAAUUGGAAAGAUACAAAGAUUAGCAUGGCCCCUGCACAAGGAAGACACUCAAAUUUGUGAAGCAUUCCAUAUUUUU